GAUGAAGAACGUAGCGAAAUGCGAUAAGUAAUGUGAAUUGCAGAAUUCAGUGAAUCAUCGAAUCUUUGAACGCACAUUGCGCCCGCCAGCAUUCUGGCGGGCAUGCCUGUUCGAGCGUCAUUUCAACCAUCAAGCCCCCGGCUUGUGUUGGGGACCUGCGGCUGCCGCAGGCCCUGAAAACCAGUGGCGGGCUCGCUAGUCACUCCGAGCGUAGUAAUACAUCUCGCUCAGGGCGUGCUGCGGGUUCCGGCCGUUAAAAGCCUUAUUUACCCAAGGUUGACCUCGGAUCAGGUAGGAAGACCCGCUGAACUUAAGCAUAUCAAUAAGCGGAGGA
rnacentral:misc_RNA from 1 species